rnacentral:rRNA from 1 species
UACGGAGGGGGCUAGCGUUGUUCGGAAUUACUGGGCGUAAAGCGCACGUAGGCGGCUUUGCAAGUUAGAGGUGAAAGCCCGGGGCUCAACUCCGGAAUUGCCUUUAAAACUGCAUCGCUAGAAUUGUGGAGAGGUAAGUGGAAUUCCGAGUGUAGAGGUGAAAUUCGUAGAUAUUCGCAAGAACACCGGUGGCGAAGGCGGCUAACUGGACCAUUACUGACGCUGAGGCGCGAAAGCGUGGGGAGCAAACAGG